AAUACAUUUACUUUUUUCGACAUUUAAAGAGUGUUUGUUAGCCUUAAACCAUUCGUUCAGGUUUUCAAGUUCUUGAGUAACAGUGUUGAAUAAUAGACUAAUUUGUUAGAGUUUGUGUGGCUAAAAAAUACUUGCGUAUCAUCACCAAAAAGGACAAAAUUAAGUGUGAUAGAAGAUAAGUAGAUAUCGUUGAUAUAAACAAUGGACCGAGAAUUAAUCCUUGUGGGACCCCACAAGUAAUGUUUUCAAGUCGAGUUACAGUGUUGUUAUAUGAUAAAGCUUGUUUCCGAAUAUUAAGGUAAGAGCGAAACCAUUUUAAAUUGUUAUUUCUUAUUCCAUAAUUAUACAGUUUAUAAAGAAGAAUUUUGUGGUCAACAGUGUCAAACGCUUUUGAGAGAUCGAGAAAUACCCCCAAGAGUGUAUUAAUUGUUGUCAAAUUUUGCCGAACUCCAAACAGUUCAGCAACCGAACGAUUGCUGAUUUAAAAUAUAAGCAUUAAUUAUUAAACUCGAAGUGAAAAUCUAAAGUCUAGAGAGGGGGUGCAGUUGGUGCGCCGCACCAGGGCCCAUAAAAGUUUAGUAAAUGCGGUUUGCUCGACAUAUGUUAACCAAACAACAUGUGUUGAGCAAACUAUAUUCAGUCUGGAAAUGUGAUUACAUUGAUUAUAUUCAGUGAUACAUAGUGAAUAAUAUAUAGCAAUUAACAAUAUUCAGUAAUUAUUUUCGACAAAUUACAUUCAGUGUGCGCAAGAGAUUUAUUAAGAAAAUUGUGAACAUUUUUAUUUGCACGAGUCAGCUGUUCGGAAGACACAGUAAUUUGAUUAAUGGAAGCCGUAAACACCAUAACAAAAGUUUUCUUUGUAAACUACCAAAAAAUGGCAGAGGAGGAAUUAAUACACAAAGCAACUAGUUUUGUAAAGAAAUACCACUGUUGGUUUGGUUAACAUUAUAUCAAGACUGUCCGAAUGAUGGGUUGUUGUAGAUGACUGUAUAUGUACUUUUUUAUUUACUCUUUAUUUAAUUUUAUCUAUCGAUCUUAUGCUUAUUUGCUUAUUUAUAUGUACAUGAUGUUUGAGUUAAAAAAUAAUUAAUAUUAUAUUAAAAUAAACAAAUUUUAUAUUAAAA